AUACGUAGGGGGCAAGCGUUAUCCGGAAUUAUUGGGCGUAAAGAGUGCGUAGGUGGUUUUGUAAGCGUAGGGUGAAAGGCAGUAGCUCAACUAUUGUUAGCCCUGCGAACUGUGAGACUUGAGUGCAGGAGAGGAAAGUGGAAUUCCUAGUGUAGCGGUGAAAUGCGUAGAUAUUAGGAGGAACACCAGUGGCGAAGGCGACUUUCUGGACUGUAACUGACACUGAGGCACGAAAGCGUGGGUAGC
rnacentral:rRNA from 1 species